rnacentral:rRNA from 1 species
AGAGUUUGAUCCUGGCUCAGAGCGAACGCUGGCGGCGUGCUUAACACAUGCAAGUCGAACGCGCAGCAUUCUGUAGCAAUACAGGGUGUGGGCGCGUGGCGAACGGGUGCGUAACACGUGGAUAACCUUCCUUCAGGUGGGGAAUAACCCAGUGAAAAUUGGGCUAAUACCGCAUAACAUGACGAUGGCACAUGCUGUUGUCUUCAAAGGCGCAAGUCGCCAGAAGAGGGAUCCGCGGCCGAUUAGCUUGUUGGCGAGGUAAUGGCUCACCAAGGCAUUGAUCGGUAGCCGGACUGAGAGGUUGACCGGCCACACUGGAACUGAGACACGGUCCAGACUCCUACGGGAGGCAGCAGUGGGGAAUCUUGCACAAUGGACGAAAGUCUGAUGCAGCAACGCCGCGUGGGGGAUGAAGCUUCUCGGAGUG